CGGGCAAAGUUGAAGUUGCAUAACGUGGGGUCAUUUUGGGCUCUUGUGCUGGUUAUCGUGAAUCUCUCUAUUGCGUGAUGUGUAUCCCUUUCCCGUGGAUAUUGUAUAGAGACCAUUGUUUUUUCGUACAUAGACUUUUAUGUAGGUUUCAUCACAUGUUAUAGUUUCCAUGUGCUAUGAGACUGCGAGAGUGAAAUGAAUGGAAACUGGUAAUUCAGUUGUAAUAGGAUAAUCUACUACACAUUUUUUUCUUACAUUACUGGUGUAUGCUGAUAUUUUCACUUAAUUGUUUAGUAGAAAAUGCACUGAAGUGUGUUGUAUGGGAAGACGCUUCAGCGCAAUUGAAGUGUAGAAUUUAAGAUAAAAUUAUUUUUGGUACUUUCUACCGUGCUAUAUUUGACAGAAAACAAUACGAAAAAUAUAUCACAAUACCCUUGUCUCUAAAUGAACGGAAAAUUACUUUUCCUGAUUAUUGUGCAGUGGUUAAUGUGCGCGGCAAAAGGGAUUACUUGCCAGAAAUUCGGUUGCAUUUGAAAUUAAAAGACAAAUGCGUGAUUUGUCUCGCGAAGCAAAGUAAUUGCCUUUAUUAUAUGAAAGGCAAUUGCACCUUCUAGUUUCCACUUCCUGCAUGGUGUGUUUGCCGUAAUGCACGUUUUUCUGAAGAAUUUCUAUAAUGUAUGACACUGUAUACGGCAUUAGGUUGUGAAAAAUUGUACCUAAAGUAUUUUCGUCGUUGUUAUUGUAGCUGACAUAUUUGUGCAAUAUAUUUAUGUGCAGUAGACUUCAUUUUAGCUGCAACUAGUUGUAGAUUAAAAAUAAUCAUACUCUCCUGUACUUAUAUCGAUGAAUAUUGUAUCUUUGUGUUAGAAAAAAAUGUAUUUUUAUAUUAUUUUCUUACACCAUGAAAAUGCACAUUCUGCUAACAAGAUUUAUAGACACGUUGAUUGUGAAUAUUUUCCAGGUGUUAUUAUGAUUAACUGUAAAUGUUCCUCAAGUACUCGACAUACAGAGGACUGACUGCAGUUAAUGAGAGCCAAGUUAUGACCUUUCAUUAGCUGUGCAUUAUACAAGCUGGAAAACCUAGUUUGGUGAAGUAUUUAGCUCUAAGAACCAUUGCAAAGAUCUAGUUGAUUGCGUACAAGUGGUACAACUGGUUUUCAAUAUGCAAUCCUACAACACUCGUGUAACCAUUGCAGACAAGGAGUCGAGUCUCAUUUCCUUGUGGACUGAUGUAUAUUCAGAAAAUAAAUGCUUACCCAAGGCAUACUCA